rfam:Gossypium hirsutum cultivar TM-1 chromosome 11, whole genome shotgun sequence
AGCCCAUGGUGAGGGCACCUUCUCAAUAGGUCCUUGUAUCUCUCCCAUGCAUCAUAAAGUGUUUCUAGAUCCAUCUGCACAAAAGAAGAGAAAUCAUUCCUCAACCGUU